UACGGCGGGGGCUAGCGUUGUUCGGAAUUACUGGGCGUAAAGCGCACGUAGGCGGCUUUGUAAGUUAGAGGUGAAAGCCCGGGGCUCAACUCCGGAAUUGCCUUUAGGACUGCAUCGCUAGAAUUGUGGAGAGGUAAGUGGAAUUCCGAGUGUAGAGGUGAAAUUCGUAGAUAUUCGGAAGAACACCAGUGGCGAAGGCGACUUACUGGACACAUAUUGACGCUGAGGUGCGAAAGCGUGGGGAGCGAACAGG
rnacentral:rRNA from 1 species